AUCAAAAGUUCAUUUUUCUGUCAUGUUGUUAAACUUUAGUCGAUACAAGUAACAUGUGAGUAAGUAAACAUAGCAGUCUAUUUGAUGACCACACAAAAGCUUAAAAGUAGAGGUAGCACAGGAAUGUGAAGGAUAUACAAAGAGGGAAUUCAUGUUUUAUUUCAUACAGUCUAUGGUAUUACCCCAGAAAUGUGAUUUACUUUUGAAGUUGAAAAUGUUUAGUUGAACUGUAAACUUCAUAGUAAACCUCAUAAUUAUGAAGACCGCAGUCUGACUAUAAACUAAAUUGCAGUCAACCAUCUUUACUUAUUAACUGUAAACUUCAACGUCUGCAUCAGACGUGCGACCAUGAAGUUCAUAUAUGAAUGGUAGUAAUGGGAGAGUUCAUAGUCAAGUUAUGAUAUAUUCGUGGUUGAACUGUAGCCUAAAUGCAAUGGUAGAAUAUAAAAAAAUUAGUUGUACUGUAAAUUUCACUGUUUUACUGUGAAAUUUUAGUUCAUUUUUUUCCUGGGCCUAUUCGUUCAUCUUUGGUUUAAAUUCAUAUUAUCUGCAAUUUGCGUGUCUGAUGCCAGGUUAUCAUACAAGCAGUUUAAUUUAUUAGCGGUUCGAGACCCACGUGGAGUUUAUUUUGUUUUAUUUGGUGGUAUCCCAGAUAGCAAGGUGACAUUGAUAUGAUGUUGAUUUUCCAUCCAAAUCAUCAUUUUGGUUGAGAUUGAAAUCUCAAUGGUAAAUAGACAUUGAAUCAGCAUUACAAUCCUGACAAAAACCCGACAGUGCAUGAUUAUCGAUAAGAGAGAUAUCGAAACAACAUUGGUUUAUAGUUUAUGUUGCCAUAAUCGAUAGAGCAUCGAUACAUAGUUCACUAAAAGAUAUUGAAAAGUCAUGGAUUUGUGGUUGACUGGGAAAUCUUAACGUGGUGAUUGAAAAGUAGUGGAUUUACAGUUGACCGCGCGACGACGUUUGAACUGUACAGUUCAUUUUCAGCAACAGUUCAGUCAGACCAACGGUGGUGUUCAGCUCUCUGUCAAGUUCACUCCUCCUUAAUGGUGCCACUUCACUCUGCUACUGGAUGGUGGAGGGCUAACUGCGAACGGGUGGUCUAUGAAUGCUAUACUGAAUGGAUGGCAGGGAAGCACAACACACGUGAAUUUCUAAAUGAAGAAGAGUUAAUAAAUGCACUUGAUUUUCAAACUGA